GUUCAGACUGCUGCAAUGCUGGCUGGCUAGGUUGCUUUGGGUUUACGUACACGCCGUGGAGCAUACGUGAAUGUCAGAAGACAACUUACAAAACUCAGUUCUAUCUUCCCAUACACUUGUUUCUGAGAAACCAGCUCAAUUCCUUGGGCUUAGUGAUAAGUGCCUUUACUUGGUGAGUUAUGUUCCUGAGCCUGUGUCUGGGUCUUCAGAGUAUGGGAUCAUGCCUACUGAUAAGCUUAGACACUGACCUCAGCAACUACUUAUCAGGAAUUCACAGAGGUAGAUGAAGUCAGGAAGAAAGAGCAGAUGAGCCCUUUCAAAAGUCUGAGCUGCAUGGCUGGAAAUGUAUAAUACUGUGAAACUUUUGAAGACCAUCUAAUUGAA